UUGAGACGCUAGCGGGAUGCCUAACACAUUGCAAGCCCGAGCGGGGAUUUUGUUGGGUUAGCUUGCUAACUAACAAUGAGAGCGGCGUACGGGUGCGUAACACGUGUGCAACCUGCCUUUAUCUGGGGGAUAGCCUUUCGAAAGGAAGAUUAAUACCCCAUAAUAUAUUGAUUGGCAUCAGUUAAUAUUGAAAGCUGAGGCGGAUAUGAGAUGGGCACGCCGUAAGAUUAGCUAGUUGGUGAGGUAACGGCUCACCAAGGCUUGCGAUCUUUAGGGGCCUGAAAGGGUGAUCCCCCACACUUGGUACUUGAGACACCGGACCAAGACUCCUACGGGAGGCAGCAGUGAGGAAUAUUGGGACAAUGGGGUGAGACCUGAUCCAGCCUCCCGCGUGAAGGACUAAGGACCUAUGGUUUGUAAACUUCUUUUAUACAGGGAUAAACCUACUCUCGUGAGGGUAGCUGAAGGUACUGUAUGAAUAAGCACCGGCUAACUCCGUGCCAGCAGCCGCGGUAAUACGGAAGGUGCAGAGCGUUAUUCCGGAUUUAUUCGGGUUUAAAGGGUCCGUAAGGCGGGUCGAUAAGUCAGUCGGUGAAAGCCUGCAGCUUAACUUGUAGAACUGCCCUUGAUACUUGUCAGGUCUUGAGUGUAUUUCGAGGUAGCUUGGAAUGACUACUGUAGCGGUGAAAUGCAUAGAUAUUACUCAGAACACCAAUUGCGAAGGCAGGUUACCAAGUUACAACUGACGCUUGAUGGACAAAAGCGUGGGGAGCCGAACAGGAUUAGAUACCCUGGUAGUCCACGCUUGGGAACCAUGCUAACUCCGGUUUUGGGGUAUUAUACUUCAGAGACCAAGGCGAAAGUGAUU
rnacentral:rRNA from 1 species